AACGCACCUUGCGCUCCCUGGUAUUCCGGGGAGCAUGCCUGUUUGAGUGUCGUGAAAUCAUCAUGGUCAUGAUCUUUAAUUAAUCAUGGCUUGGUUUUGGAGGUUAUGUUGGACUUGAUGUUCGACUCCUCUUGAAUGUAUUAGCUGGACUCUGUCGCUCCGUAGCGAGUUACUUACGCGGUGUGAUAGUUUAUUCAUCUCCGUGUGUUACUUGCGCGUAUACGCAGCCGGAAUUUGGCUUAUAAAAGACUUACAAUUUGACAAUCUGACCUCAAAUCAGGUAGGACUACCCGCUGAACUUAA
rnacentral:rRNA from 1 species